ensembl:lncRNA
ACAAAGGGAAAAUCAAUGUCAUCGAUUGCUUAGUCACCAAAGUGAGCGGAGGCAUGACCAUAUCCCAUCAAAAAGUGUCAUUGAUGCACGGCGUGGCGUGCACUGAGGGCCAUGCCACCUCCAGAACCAGGAGCGCACAAAGCACCGGGGGGGGCACAGGGGUGCCAGGGCAGCCAUGGAGCCCUUCUCCUGUCAGCUCGCCUUACGGAAAAAAGGCGGUUGAUACACGAACGGUUUACCUACAUGCGAGAACAUCAACAAGAAAGAAAAUCAUACCGGAAGUGCACGCAGUAUUCACAUUUAAUAUGUAAAGCACAGGCUGUGACUAUCGAGACACAGUGUGUCAGUACGGGAAUGUCAGUUGAUGGCCAUUAUAAGGAGAAGAACGAAGCCACCCAUAUUAGAAUGAAACCGUGGGAAGAGGAAGAAAGCUUCCCAAACAAACGUCUCAAACGGUUUGCUGUGACGAUCAAGAUGGAUCCUUCGGAAGUAUCAGUUCAUCACAAACUGGAGAAAGAGGAGCAGCCAAUAGCCGCUGAGAUUAGAGUGGAACUGGGCAAGGAGACGGAAGAGGCAGAAGUUAUAUGGGAGAGCAAUGAAUCAGAUGAUCUGUCCCAGGUCAACUCAAAGGACAAGACGCUCUCAGCAGAAGGGCCGGAUUCCAUUUUAGACUG